CCUACGGGAGGCAGCAGUGAGGAAUAUUGGUCAAUGGACGCAAGUCUGAACCAGCCAUGCCGCGUGCAGGAAGACGGCCCUAUGAGUUGUAAACUGCUUUUGUACGAGGGUAAACGCAGAUACGCGUAUCUUUCUGAAAGUAUCGUACGAAUAAGGAUCGGCUAACUCCGUUCCAGCAGCCGCGGUAAUACGGAGGAUUCAAGCGUUAUCCGGAUUUAUUGGGUUUAAAGGGUGCGUAGGCGGUCGGAUAAGUUAGAGGUGAAAUCCCGAGGCUCAACUUCGGAAUUGCCUCUGAUACUGUUCGGCUAGAGAGUAGUAGCGGUAGGCGGAAUGUAUGGUGUAGCGGUGAAAUGCUUAGAGAUCAUACAGAACACCGAUUGCGAAGGCAGCUUACCAAGCUAAUUCUGACGUUGAGGCACGAAAGCGUGGGGAGCAAACAGGAUUAGAUACCCCUGUAGUC
rnacentral:rRNA from 1 species